rnacentral:rRNA from 1 species
GCGCAGCAGUCGCGCAACCUCUGCAAUAGGCGAAAGCCUGACAGGGCUACCCCGAGUGCCGUCCGCUGAGGAUGGCUUUUCUCCGGUGUAGUGAGCCGGAGGAAUAAGGUGAGGGCAAGUCUGGUGUCAGCCGCCGCGGUAAUACCAGCUCUCCGAGUGGUAGGGACGAUUAUUGGGCCUAAAGCGUCCGUAGCCGGCCAAGCAAGUUUCCCGUUAAAUCCAGCGAUCUAAUCGUUGGACUGCGGGAAAUACUGUUUGGCUAGGGGGCGAGAGAGGCCAACGGUAUUCCCGGGGUAGGGGUGAAAUCCUAUAAUCCCGGGAGGACCACCAGUGGCGAAGGCUGUUGGCUAGAACGCGCCCGACGGUGAGGGACGAAAGCUGGGGGAGCAAACCGGAUUAGAUACCCGGGUAGUCC